AGAGUUUGAUCAUGGCUCAGAUUGAACGCUGGCGGCAUGCCUUACACAUGCAAGUCGAACGGUAACGCGGGGCAACCUGGCGACGAGUGGCGAACGGGUGAGUAAUGCAUCGGAACGUGCCCAGUAGUGGGGGAUAGCCCGGCGAAAGCCGGAUUAAUACCGCAUACGACCUACGGGUGAAAGCGGGGGACCGCAAGGCCUCGCGCUAUUGGAGCGGCCGAUGUCAGAUUAGCUUGUUGGUGGGGUAAAAGCCCACCAAGGCGACGAUCUGUAGCUGGUCUGAGAGGACGACCAGCCACACUGGGACUGAGACACGGCCCAGACUCCUACGGGAGGCAGCAGUGGGGAAUUUUGGACAAUGGGCGCAAGCCUGAUCCAGCCAUGCCGCGUGCGGGAAGAAGGCCUUCGGGUUGUAAACCGCUUUUGUCAGGGAAGAAACGCUUUGGGCUAAUACCCCGAGGUAAUGACGGUACCUGAAGAAUAAGCACCGGCUAACUACGUGCCAGCAGCCGCGGUAAUACGUAGGGUGCAAGCGUUAAUCGGAAUUACUGGGCGUAAAGCGUGCGCAGGCGGUUAUGCAAGACAGAUGUGAAAUCCCCGGGCUCAACCUGGGAACUGCAUUUGUGACUGUAUAGCUAGAGUGCGGUAGAGGGGGAUGGAAUUCCGCGUGUAGCAGUGAAAUGCGUAGAUAUGCGGAGGAACACCGAUGGCGAAGGC
rnacentral:rRNA from 1 species